rnacentral:rRNA from 1 species
UCCGGUUGAUCCUGCCGGACCCGACCGCUAUCGGGGUGGGGCUAACCCAUGGGAGUCUAGGAGCCGGGGCAACGGCCGGCUCCGGCGGACGGCUCAGUAGCACGUGGCUAACCUACCCUCGGGAGGGGGAUAACCCCGGGAAACUGGGGAUAAUACCCCAUAGGCGCAGGCACCUGGAAUGGGCCUGCGCCGAAAGGGUGCAGUGCCAUGCCCGCUGCACCCGCCCGAGGAUGGGGCUGCGCCCUAUCAGGUAGUUGGCGGGGUAACGGCCCGCCAAGCCGAAGACGGGUGGGGGCCGUGAGAGCGGGAGCCCCGAGUUGGGCACUGAGACAAGGGCCCAGGCCCUACGGGGCGCACCAGGGGCGAAACUUCCGCAAUGCGGGAAACCGUGACGGAGUCACCCCGAGUGCCGCCCGAAGAGGGCGGCUUUUCCCCGGUCUAAAAAGCCGGGGGAAUAAGCGGGGGGCAAGCCUGGUGUCAGCCGCCGSGGUAAUACCAGCCCCGCGAGUGGUCGGGACGAUUAUUGGGCCUAAAGCGUCCGUAGCCGGCCCGGCAAGUCCCUCCUUAAAGCCCACGGCCCAACCGUGGGAGCGGAGGGAUACUGCCGGGCUAGGGGGCGGGAGAGGCCGGGGGUACUCCCGGGGUAGGGGCGAAAUCCGAAAAUCCCGGGAGGACCACCAGUGGCGAAGGCGUCCGGCUGGAACGCGCCCGACGGUGAGGGACGAAAGCUGGGGGAGCAAAGGGGAUUAGAUACCCCCGUAGUCCCAGCUGUAAACGAUGCGGGCUGGAUGCUGGGCGGACCUCGAGUCCGCCCAGUGUCGCAGGGAAGCCGUUAAGCCCGCCGCCUGGGGAGUACGGCCGCAAGGCUGAAACUUAAAGGAAUUGGCGGGGGAGCACCACAAGGGGUGAAGCUUGCGGUUUAAUUGGAGUCAACGCCGGAAACCUUACCGGGGGCGACAGCAGGAUGAAGGCCAGGCUGACGACCUUGCCAGACGAGCUGAGAGGAGGUGCAUGGCCGUCGCCGGCUCGUGCCGUGAGGUGUCCUGUUAAGUCAGGGAACGAGCGAGACCCCCACCCCCAGUUGCUACCUGGUCCUCCGGGACCGGGGCACUCUGGGGGAACUGCCGGCGAUAAGCCGGAGGAAGGAGGGGGCUACGGCAGGUCAGUAUGCCCGAAAUCC